rnacentral:rRNA from 1 species
GCGAACGUUAGCGGCAGGCUUAACACAUGCAAGUCGAGCGAGAAAGGGGCUUCGGCUCCGAGUAAAGCGGCGGACGGGUGCGUAACACGUGGAUAAUCUGCCUCGUGGCGGGGGACAACAGUCCGAAAGGACUGCUAAUACCGCAUGUCAGGUCGGAAACUCCGGUUUCUGACGAAAAAGAGGGCGCCCGCAAGGGGCUCUCACCACGAGAUGAGUCCGCGUCCCAUCAGCUAGUUGGCGGUGUAAUAGACCACCAAGGCUUAGACGGGUAGCUGGUCUGAGAGGAUGACCAGCCACACUGGGACUGAGACACGGCCCAGACUCCUACGGGAGGCAGCAGUGGGGAAUAUUGGACAAUGGGCGAAAGCCUGAUCCAGCCAUGCCGCGUGAGUGAUGAAGGCCUUC